rnacentral:lncRNA from 1 species
GCAACCGGCGGCGCCCGCCCGCCGAGCGGCCCCGCUCCAGAAGGUUCGGGCCGGGUCCCGGCGCGGUUCCCCGCGGGGAGCAGCCCCACGCGUGGGGCCCCACGCCGCUCCUCCCCACGCCGCCCCUCGGGCUGCCUCUCCCGAAGACCCGUUUUUGCCCGGCGAGGCCCCCGGUCCGGCCCGGCCCGGCUUGGGGAGGGGUGUGCAGGCCCCGGCGGGGAGCAGGCCCGGCCUUCACCUCAGCUCCUGUCAGGCGUUUGCAGGAAGAAGCAGCCCCGUGGCCGGCUGUAAAGGAGAAACCCCUCAGCGAGCCCUGUCGCUGGGCAUGGUCGUGAAAGGAAGGUUUCAGUAA